rnacentral:rRNA from 1 species
CCUACGGGAUGCACCAGUGGGGAAUUUUCCGCAUUGGGCGAAAGCCUGACGGAGCAAUGCCGCGUGGAGGUAGAAGGCCCACGGGUCGUGAACUUCUUUUCCCGGAGAAGAAGCAAUGACGGUAUCUGGGGAAUAAGCAUCGACUAACUCUGUGCCAGCAGCCGCGGUAAUACAGAGGAUGCAAGCGUUAUCCGGAAUGAUUGGGCGUAAAGCGUCUGUAGGUGGCUUUUUAAGUCCGCCGUCAAAUCCCAGGGCUCAACCCUGGACAGGCGGUGGGGACUACCAAGCUGGAGUACGGUAGGGGCAGAGGGAAUUUCCGGUGGAGCGGCGAAAUGCGUAGAGAUCGGAAGGAACACCAACGGCGAAAGCACUCCGCUGGGCCGACACUGACACUGAGAGACGAAAGCUAGGGGAGCGAAUGGGAUUAGAUACCCUCGUAGUC